rnacentral:rRNA from 1 species
AGGUGUUGCAUGGCUGUCGUCAGCUCGUGUCGUGAGAUGUUCGGUUAAGUCCGCUAACGAGCGCAACCCUCGUCGUAUGUUAUAUGUGUCAUACGAGACUGCCGGUAAAAGCCGGAGGAAGGUGAGGAUGAUGUCAAGUCAGCAUGACCUUUAUAUCCAGGGCCUACACACACGCUACAAUGGUCUGUACAAUGGGUAGCCAAGCCGCGAGCGGAGCCAAUCCUGAAAGCAGGCCUCAGUUCAGAUUGCAGUCUGCAACUCGACUGCAUGAAGCCGGAGUUGCUAGUAACCGCAGGUCAGCAAUACUGCGGUGAAUACGUUCCCGGGUCUU